rnacentral:rRNA from 1 species
UGGGGAAUUUUGGACAAUGGGGGCAACCCUGAUCCAGCCAUGCCGCGUGCGGGAAGAAGGCCUUCGGGUUGUAAACCGCUUUUAGCCGGGAAGAAAAGGCGUCCACUAACACUGGGCGUUCUUGACGGUACCGGCGGAAUAAGCACCGGCUAACUACGUGCCAGCAGCCGCGGUAAUACGUAGGGUGCGAGCGUUAAUCGGAAUUACUGGGCGUAAAGCGUGCGCAGGCGGUUCGUUAAGUUUGCGGUGAAAGCCCCGGGCUCAACCUGGGAAUGGCCGUGGAAACUGGCGGGCUGGAGUGCGGCAGAGGGGGGUGGAAUUCCGCGUGUAGCAGUGAAAUGCGUAGAGAUGCGGAGGAACACCGAUGGCGAAGGCAGCCCCCUGGGCCGACACUGACGCUCAGGCACGAAAGCGUGGGGAGCAAACAGG